AGUGAACGCUGGCGGUAGGCCUAACACAUGCAAGUCGAACGGCAGCACAGGAGAGCUUGCUCUCUGGGUGGCGAGUGGCGGACGGGUGAGGAAUACAUCGGAAUCUACUUUUUCGUGGGGGAUAACGGAGGGAAACUUACGCUAAUACCGCAUACGACCUACGGGUGAAAGCAGGGGACCUUCGGGCCUUGCGCGAUUGAAUGAUCCGAUGUCGGAUUAGCUAGUUGGAGGGGUAAAGGCCCACCAAGGCGACGAUCCGUAGCUGGGCCGAGAGGAUGAUCAGCCACACUGGAACUGAGAAACGGUCCAGACUCCUACGGGAGGCAGCAGUGGGGAAUAUUGGACAAUGGGCGCAAGCCUGAUCCAGCCAUACCGCGUGGGUGAAGAAGGCCUUCGGGUUGUAAAGCCCUUUUGUUGGGAAAGAAAUCCAGCUGGCUAAUACCCGGUUGGGAUGACGGUACCCAAAGAAUAAGCACCGGCUAACUUCGUGCCAGCAGCCGCCGCAG
rnacentral:rRNA from 1 species